rnacentral:rRNA from 1 species
UACGUAGGGCGCAAGCGUUAUCCGGAAUUAUUGGGCGUAAAGAGCUCGUAGGCGGUUUGUCGCGUCUGCUGUGAAAGACCGGGGCUCAACUCCGGUUCUGCAGUGGGUACGGGCAGACUAGAGUGCGGUAGGGGAGACUGGAAUUCCUGGUGUAGCGGUGAAAUGCGCAGAUAUCAGGAGGAACACCGGUGGCGAAGGCGGGUCUCUGGGCCGUAACUGACGCUGAGGAGCGAAAGCGUGGGGAGCGAACAGG